rnacentral:lncRNA from 1 species
CCUACACAGUACUCGACACGAGUAUUAUUAGUAACGCCUUUUCUACAUCAUCCUAUUACAUGACUUAAACUCGAGUUCCAUGACUAUCUUUAGGGACAGCCAAAGAUAGAGAACAAGUCAGUUUUCUGAACCUCCGUUGAGCUUUUUGCAUCACUUUGGUUGGUUUGGGUCGAGACAUAUGAAACCCAAUGGCAUCAGGUACCAAC